CGAUAUUUUCCUAUUCUGCACGAAACCAGAAGGCAGCCGCACGCCUCGUUCUCAGACCGCCAUCCGCCGCACGCCUGUGGCCGACCGUCUGAUUGCUCGCCGCCGGUGAUAACGUAGUGGAUUCCCUUCAUCUCUUUCGUUUUCACGCUGAAACCCUCGCCCCAGAGGUCAGUUUUAAAACCACGCCGAACCGCCACCGCGCCGCACCUCUUCGUCCGCCGCCAACAUUGCUGUUUAACAAAUUAAUAAAUUGGUCCAACAAGUCCUCCGGACUUCAUCGCAUAAGAUGGGGUCGGCAUCAAAAAGGGAGAGAAAAUCACAAGCAACUGAUAG
rnacentral:misc_RNA from 1 species